AGAACUGUGCCCGAAUGCCCAAGGACCACUUUGAUAGAGUGAAUCACAGGGGUUAAAUCCCCCUCAGUUCUU
rnacentral:tRNA from 1 species